rnacentral:rRNA from 1 species
UACGUAGGGCGCGAGCGUUAUCCGGAAUUAUUGGGCGUAAAGAGCUCGUUAGGCGGUUUGUCACGUCUGCUGUGAAAACUGGAGGCUCAACCUCCAGCCUGCAGUGGGGUACGGGCAGACUAGAGUGCGGUAGGGGGAGAUUGGAAUUCCUGGUGUAGCGGUGGAAUGCGCAGAUAUCAGGAGGAACACCGAUGGCGAAAGGCAGCUCUCUGGCUUCACCCUGACGCUGAGGCGCGAAAAGCGUGGG